rnacentral:ribozyme from 1 species
AAAAGAAAAAAGAAAAACUUUUUUUUUUUUUUUUUUUUUUUUUUU